CAGGUCAUAGUGAUCCGGUGGUUCUGAAUGGAAGGGCCAUCGCUCAACGGAUAAAAGGUACUCCGGGGAUAACAGGCUGAUACCGCCCAAGAGUUCAUAUCGACGGCGGUGUUUGGCACCUCGAUGUCGGCUCAUCACAUCCUGGGGCUGAAGUAGGUCCCAAGGGUAUGGCUGUUCGCCAUUUAAAGUGGUACGCGAGCUGGGUUUAGAACGUCGUGAGACAGUUCGGUCCCUAUCUGCCGUGGGCGCUGGAGAACUGAGGGGGGCUGCUCCUAGUACGAGAGGACCGGAGUGGACGCAUCACUGGUGUUCGGGUUGUCAUGCCAAUGGCACUGCCCGGUAGCUAAAUGCGGAAGAGAUAAGUGCUGAAAGCAUCUAAGCACGAAACUUGCCCCGAGAUGA
rnacentral:rRNA from 1 species